rnacentral:rRNA from 1 species
CUAAGAAUAUUCCGCAAUGGGCGAAAGCCUGACGGAGCGACGCCGCGUGGAUGAGGAAGGCCGAAAGGUUGUAAAAUCCUUUUGCGGGCGAAGAAUAAGCGGGGCAGGGAAUGGCCGCGCGAUGACGUUAGCCCGUGAAUAAGCCCCGGCUAAUUACGUGCCAGCAGCCGCGGUAACACGUAAGGGGCGAGCGUUGUUCGGAAUUAUUGGGCGUAAAGGGCGCGUAGGCGGCCUCGUAAGUCUGGUGUGAAAACCCCGGGCCCAACCCGGGAACGGCAUUGGAAACUGCGGGGCUGGAGUCACGGAGGGGCAGCCGGAAUUCCUGGUGUAGGGGUGAAAUCUGUAGAUACCAGGAAGAACACCGGUAGCGAAGGCGGGCUGCCAGCCGAUGACUGACGCUGAGGCGCGAAAGUGCGGGGAGCAAACAGGAUUAGAUACCCUGGUAGUCCGCACUAUAAACGAUGCACACCAGGUGUUGGGGUCGAGCGCCUCAGUGCGCGGGAGCGAAAGCGAUAAGUGUGCCUGCCU